UUUGUGUCGAUGAAGAGCGCAGCCAACUGUGUGAAUUAAUGUGAACUGCAUACUGCUUUGAACAUCGACAUCUUGAACGCAUAUUGCGGCCAUGGGUUAGCCUGUGGCCACGCCUGUCCGAGGGUCGGCU
rnacentral:rRNA from 1 species